GGGUGGUAAUGCCGGAUGCUCCGGUUGGAUGCAUGUCCUUCCGGGAAAGAUCCAUCGGUAUGGGAUGGGGUCGCGUCCUAUCAGCUUGAUGGCGGGGUAACGGCCCACCAUGGCUUCGACGGGUAGCCGGCCUGAGAGGGCGACCGGCCACAUUGGGACUGAGAUACGGCCCAGACUCCUACGGGAGGCAGCAGUGGGGAAUAUUGCACAAUGGGCGCAAGCCUGAUGCAGCGACGCCGCGUGCGGGAUGGAGGCCUUCGGGUUGUAAACCGCUUUUGAUCGGGAGCAAGCCCUUCGGGGUGAGUGUACCUUUCGAAUAAGCACCGGCUAACUACGUGCCAGCAGCCGCGGUAAUACGUAGGGUGCAAGCGUUAUCCGGAAUUAUUGGGCGUAAAGGGCUCGUAGGCGGUUCGUCGCGUCCGGUGUGAAAGCCCAUCGCUUAACGGUGGGUCUGCGCCGGGUACGGGCGGGCUGGAGUGCGGUAGGGGAGACUGGAAUUCCCGGUGUAACGGUGGAAUGUGUAGAUAUCGGAAA
rnacentral:rRNA from 1 species